GCAAGUCUGGUGCCAGCAGCCGCGGUAAUUCCAGCUCCAAUAGCGUAUAUUAAACUUGUUGCAGUUAAAAAGCUCGUAGUUGUAUUUUUGCGUUAGCGGUUUGACCAUUUGGUUGGUUAUUUCGUUUUCGCUUUUGGGAAUUUCCCUUUUUACUUUGAGAAAAUUAGAGUGUUUCAAGCAGACUUUUGUCUUGAAUACUUCAGCAUGGAAUAAUAGAGUAGGACUUUGGUUCUAUUUUGUUGGUUAUUGAACCUUAGUAAUGG
rnacentral:rRNA from 1 species